UACGAAGGAUGCAAGCGUUAUCCGGAUUUAUUGGGCUUAAAGGGUGCGUAGGCGGACUUAUAAGUCAGUGGUGAAAUCUCGUUGCUUAACAACGAACGUGCCAUUGAUACUGUAGGUCUUGAGUACAGAUGCCGUUGGCGGAAUGUGUCAUGUAGCGGUGAAAUGCAUAGAUAUGACACAGAACACCGAUUGCGAAGGCAGCUGACGAAGCUGUAACCGACGCUGAGGCACGAAAGCGUGGGGAUCAAACAGG
rnacentral:rRNA from 1 species